rnacentral:rRNA from 1 species
AGAGUUUGAUCAUGGCUCAGGAUGAACGCUGGCGGCGUGCCUAAUACAUGCAAGUCGAGCGAACAGACGAGGAGCUUGCUCCUCUGACGUUAGCGGNGGACGGGUGAGUAACACGUGGAUAACCUACCUAUAAGACUGGGAUAACUUCGGGAAACCGGAGCUAAUACCGGAUAAUAUAUUGAACCGCAUGGUUCAAUAGUGAAAGACGGUUUUGCUGUCACUUAUAGAUGGAUCCGCGCCGCAUUAGCUAGUUGGUAAGGUAACCGGCUUACCAAGGCAACGAUGCGUAGCCGACCUGAGAGGGUGAUCGGCCACACUGGAACUGAGACACGGUCCAGACUCCUACGGGAGGCAGCAGUAGGGAAUCUUCCGCAAUGGGCGAAAGCCUGACGGAGCAACGCCGCGUGAGUGAUGAAGGUCUUCGGAUCGUAAAACUCUGUUAUUAGGGAAGAACAAAUGUGUAANGUAACUAUGCACGUCUUGACGGUACCUAAUCAGAAAGCCACGGCUAACUAUGUGCCAGCAGCCCGCGGUAAUACGUAUGUGGCNAGCGUUAUNCGGANUUAUUGGGCGUAAAGCGCGCGUAGCGGNUUUUUAAGUCUGAUGUGAAACCCACGGNUNACCGUGGAGGGCAUUGGAACUGGAAACUU